rnacentral:snRNA from 1 species
CACGCUUUGAAAAUGUUCAAU